CCGAGUUUACAACUCCCAAACCCCUGUGAACAUACCACUGUUGCCUCGGCGGAUCAGCCCGCUCCCGGUAAACGGGACGGCCGCCAGAGGACCCCUAAACUCUGUUUCUAUAUGUAACUUCUGAGUAAAACCAUAAAUAAAUCA
rnacentral:misc_RNA from 1 species